AUAUCAGUCAUGCAUAGCAUAUCAAUAAGCGGAGGAAAAGAAACUAACAAGGAUUCCCCUAGUAACGGCGAGUGAAGCGGGAAGAGCUCAAAUUUGAAAUCUUAAAGGGUUUCCCUUUACGAAUUGUAGUUUAAAGAAGUGUUUUCUGUUGAGGUUUUGGUAAAAGUUCUUUGGAAUAGGACAUCAUAGAGGGUGAGAAUCCCGUAUUUGACCUUUACUUUCAACUUUGUGAUACACUUUCAAAGAGUCGGAUUGUUUGGGAAUGCAGUCCAAAAUGGGUGGUAAAUUUCAUCUAAAGCUAAAUAUUGGCGAGAGACCGAUAGCGAACAAGUACCGUGAGGGAAAGAUGAAAAGAACUUUGAAAAGAGAGUUAAACAGUACGUGAAAUUGUCAAAAGGGAAGCGUUUGACACCAGUGUUGUUUUUCCGAAAAUCAAUUAACGAAUGCUUGAUUUAUGUAGUUGUAUUAGACCUUAUCAGCUUCUGCACUGCCUUAGUUUUCGAGUCUUUCUUAAUGCACUUUUCAGUUAACAAGUCAACAUCAAUUUCUUUUGUUGUAAAAAAGCUUGAGGAAGGUGGCUUGAGAUUCGUCUUAAGUGUUUAUAGCCUCUUGCCUAUGCAGUCGGAGAGAUUGAGGUCUGCAGCGUAGAUCCUUCGGGGCUAAAUGCAUUUGUGCUAAGUUAUAGCAUUUUAUAGACAACUUGUUGACUAUGAUUUGUCUUGUAGCUUACUCGCUUAUGUUAUUUUACCUACGCUUAGGAUGUUGACGCGCGUGUGUGCGUG
rnacentral:rRNA from 1 species